UGGGGAAUUUUGGGACAAUGGGCGAAAGCCUGAUCCAGCAAUGCCGCGUGUGUGAAGAAGGCCUUCGGGUUGUAAAGCACUUUUGUCCGGAAAGAAAUCCUUGGCUCUAAUACAGUCGGGGGGAUGACGGUACCGGAAGAAUAAGCACCGGCUAACUACGUGCCAGCAGCCGCGGUAAUACGUAGGGUGCAAGCGUUAAUCGGAAUUACUGGGCGUAAAGCGUGCGCAGGCGGUUUGCUAAGACCGAUGUGAAUCCCCGGGCUCAACCUGGGAACUGCAUUGGUGACUGGCAGGCUAGAGUAUGGCAGAGGGGGGUAGAAUUCCACGUGUAGCAGUGAAAUGCGUAGAGAUGUGGAGGAAUACCGAUGGCGAAGGCAGCCCCCUGGGCCAAUACUGACGCUCAUGCACGAAAGCGUGGGGAGCAAACAGGAUUNGAUACCCUGGUAGUCCACGCCCU
rnacentral:rRNA from 1 species